AGACCCGAAACCCGGUGAUCUAGCCAUGGGCAGGUUGAAGGUUGGGUAACACUAACUGGAGGACCGAACCGACUAAUGUUGAAAAAUUAGCGGAUGACCUGUGGCUGGGGGUGAAAGGCCAAUCAAACCGGGAGAUAGCUGGUUCUCCCCGAAAGCUAUUUAGGUAGCGCCUCGUGAAUUCAUCUCCGGGGGUAGAGCACUGUUUCGGCUAGGGGGCCAUCCCGGCUUACCAACCCGAUGCAAACUGCGAAUACCGGAGAAUGUUAUCACGGGAGACACACGGCGGGUGCUAACGUCCGUCGUGAAGAGGGAAACAACCCAGACCGCCAGCUAAGGUCCCAAAGUCAUGGUUAAGUGGGAAACGAUGUGGGAAGGCACAGACAGCCAGGAUGUUGGCUUAGAAGCAGCCAUCAUUUAAAGAAAGCGUAAUAGCUCACUGGUCGAGUCGGCCUGCGCGGAAGAUGUAACGGGGCUAAACCAUGCACCGAAGCUGCGGCAGCGACGUUUAUGCGUUGUUGGGUAGGGGAGCGUUCUGUAAGCCUGCGAAGGUGGCCUGUGAGGGUUGCUGGAGGUAUCAGAAGUGCGAAUGCUGACAUAAGUAACGAUAAAGCGGGUGAAAAGCCCGCUCGCCGGAAGACCAAGGGUUCCUGUCCAACGUUAAUCGGGGCAGGGUGAGUCGACCCCUAAGGCGAGGCCGAAAGGCGUAGUCGAUGGGAAACGGGUUAAUAUUCCCGUACUUGGUGUUACUGCGAAGGGGGGACGGAGAAGGCUAUGUUGGCCGGGCGACGGUUGUCCCGGUUUAAGCGUGUAGGCUGGUUUUCCAGGCAAAUCCGGAAAAUCAAGGCUGAGGCGUGACGACGAGGCACUACGGUGCUGAAGCAACAAAUGCCCUGCUUCCAGGAAAAGCCUCUAAGCAUCAGGUAACAUCAAAUCGUACCCCAAACCGACACAGGUGGUCAGGUAGAGAAUACCAAGGCGCUUGAGAGAACUCGGGUGAAGGAACUAGGCAAAAUGGUGCCGUAACUUCGGGAGAAGGCACGCUGACACGUAGGUGAAGUGAUUUACUCA
rnacentral:rRNA from 1 species